rnacentral:rRNA from 1 species
GACGAACGCUGGCGGCGUGCUUAACACAUGCAAGUCGAACGGAAAGGCCCUGCUUUUGUGGGGUGCUCGAGUGGCGAACGGGUGAGUAACACGUGAGUCACCUGCCCUUGACUUUGGGAUAACUUCAGGAAACUGGGGCUAAUACCGGAUAGGAGCUCCUGCUGCAUGGUGGGGGUUGGAAAGUUUCGGCGGUUGGGGAUGGACUCGCGGCUUAUCAGCUUGUUGGUGGGGUAGUGGCUUACCAAGGCUUUGACGGGUAGCCGGCCUGAGAGGGUGACCGGCCACAUUGGGACUGAGAGACGGCCCAGACUCCUACGGGAGGCAGCAGUGGGGAAUAUUGCACAAUGGGCGGAAGCCUGAUGCAGCAACGCCGCGUGCGUGAUGACGGCCUUCGGGUUGUAAACCGCUUUCGCCUGUGACGAAGCGUGAUUGACGGUAAUGGGUAAAGAAGCACCGGCUAACUACGUG